rnacentral:rRNA from 1 species
GUAUCAAUUGGAGGGCAAGUCUGGUGCCAGCAGCCGCGGUAAUUCCAGCUCCAAAAGCGUAUAUUAAAGUUGUUGCAGUUAAAAAGCUCGUAGUUGAAAUUGGGGAAACUAUUUAGUAAGAAGUCUAUGAUGGAUUAUUAAAUGUUCCUUCGUCGUCGUGUAUAUUGUCAAGUCACUUAAUUGGGAUUUUUCAAUAACCGACAAGUUUACUUUGAAAAAAUUAGAGUGCUUAAAGCAGGCUUAUGCUUGUAUAUUGUUGCAUGGAAUAAUGAAAUAAGACUUUGGUUUUAUUUUGUUGGUUUUCGAAACUAAAGUAAUGAUUAAAAGAGACUGCCGGGGGCAUAUGUAUGCUGGUGCUAGAGGUGAAAUUCUGAGACCAUC